rnacentral:rRNA from 1 species
CAGUAGCCACGGUAAUACGGAGGGCGCGAGCGUUACCCGGAUUUACUGGGCGUAAAGGGCGUGUAGGCGGCCUGGGGCGUCCCAUGUGAGAGGCCACGGCUCAACCGUGGAGGAGCGUGGGAUACGCUCAGGCUAGAGGGUGGGAGAGGGUGGUGGAAUUCCCGGAGUAGCGGUGAAAUGCGCAGAUACCGGGAGGAACGCCGAUGGCGAAGGCAGCCACCUGGUCCACUUCUGACGCUGAGGCGCGAAAGCGUGGGGAGCAAACCGGAUUAGAGACCCCUGUAGUCCCUGUCUCUUAUAC